GAUGAACGCUGGCGGCGUGCUUAACACAUGCAAGUCGAACGAUGAAGCCCAGCUUGCUGGGUGGAUUAGUGGCGAACGGGUGAGUAACACGUGAGUAACCUGCCCUUAACUCUGGGAUAAGCCUGGGAAACUGGGUCUAAUACCGGAUAGGAGCGUCCACCGCAUGGUGGGUGUUGGAAAGAUUUAUCGGUUUUGGAUGGACUCGCGGCCUAUCAGCUUGUUGGUGAGGUAAUGGCUCACCAAGGCGACGACGGGUAGCCGGCCUGAGAGGGUGACCGGCCACACUGGGACUGAGACACGGCCCAGACUCCUACGGGAGGCAGCAGGGGGGAAUAUUGCACAAUGGGCGCAAGCCUGAUGCAGCGACGCCGCGUGAGGGAUGACGGCCUUCGGGUUGUAAACCUCUUUCAGUAGGGAAGAAGCGAAAGUGACGGUACCUGCAGAAGAAGCACCGGCUAACUACGUG
rnacentral:rRNA from 1 species